UUCCCAGCUCCUCGGGAGGUAGAGGCGUGAGACUUGUUUGAACUUGCUUGAAAAUGUGGAGGUUGCAGUGAGCCAAGAUCCCACCACUGCACUCCAGCCUCGGUGACAGAGUGAGGCUAUGUCACUUACACACACACACCCCCGAGCUUCCUUAUAGCUGUGUAGUGGUAGGGCUCAACUCUGGAAUCAUAUGUCAGGAGAGUAAUAUGGAAUAAUAGUAGCCUGAAAUGUGAUCCCUUGACGGAUCUUUAAGCAAUAGGCCUUUCCUACUUUUUCUUACCCUUAUGGUUUUGGAUUUAACCUCAUUCUCCCUUCUUGGUGUUUGUUCUUGACCUCAGCCUCUUUCUACUCUUUGUAGACAUAAAUGAAUGCACAGAUUUUGUAGAUGUCCCUUGUAGCCACUUCUGCAACAAUUUCAUUGGUGGUUACUUCUGCUCCUGCCCCCCGGAAUAUUUCCUCCAUGAUGACAUGAAGAAUUGCGGAGUUAAUUGCAGUGGGGAUGUAUUCACUGCACUGAUUGGGGAGAUUGCAAGUCCCAAUUAUCCCAAACCAUAUCCAGAGAACUCAAGGUGUGAAUACCAGAUCCGGUUGGAGAAAGGGUUCCAAGUGGUGGUGACCUUGCGGAGAGAAGAUUUUGAUGUGGAAGCAGCUGACUCAGCGGGAAACUGCCUUGACAGUUUAGUUUUUGUUGCAGGAGAUCGGCAAUUUGGUCCUUACUGUGGUCAUGGAUUCCCUGGGCCUCUAAAUAUUGAAACCAAGAGUAAUG
rnacentral:lncRNA from 10 species